rnacentral:tRNA from 9 species
CGGACGUGGCCAAGUGGAUUAAGGCAGU